CGGUCGGAAUAUUAUCGCUUUUUUACGAGAAAAAUGGCAUAAAAAUUGAUUUUAAACAGCGGUUGACAUGCUUCGAAGUACGGUAAUGGAAUAUUUCGAUUUUUUUUGUCACGAAUUGCACCACGCGCGUUACCAUUUCAGAUAGUGUCUGGGACGCACGAACAAAACGCCGCUAUUCGGAUAUAACGAUGGAUUAUUUUGUACCAAACCAACAUUUGUUAUUGAAGUAGCAGUCCUGGGAGUGCAUUCUGACGAAGACAACAAAAGGACCUGAGCCCUAGGACCAUGCCUCAGGACUACCUGGCAUGAUGACUGCUUGCUGUCCCCAGUCCACCUGGCCGUGCUGCUGCUCCAGUUUCAACUGUUCUGCCUGCGGCUAUGGAACCCUGACCUGUUCACCGGACGUGCUUGUUGCACCCUCGACAACUACUAUGAUUAUUAUUAUUUGACCAUGCUGGUCAUUUAUGAACAUUUUAACAUCUUGACCAUGUUCUGUUAUAAUAUCCACCCGGCACAGCCAGAAGAGGACUGGCCACCCCUCAUAGCCUGGUUCCUCUCUAGGUUUCUUCCUAGGUUUUUGGCCUUUCUAGGGAGUUUUUCCUAGGGAGUUUUUCCUAGCCACCGUGCUUCUUUCACAUGCAUUGCUUGCUGUUUGGGGUUUUAGGCUGGGUUUCUGUACAGCACUUUGAGAUAUCAGCUGAUGUACGAAGGGCUAUAUAAAUACAUUUGAUUUGAUUUGAUUUUGAUUUGGUCAUUUAUGAGGAGAAUCAUUAUAACAGUUGAUAAUAUAAAAAAAGAAGACAUCUAGGCUAAUUAAAAUGGGUCGGAUGCAGACCAAGCAGUUACAGUUUGAACCCGAUGCAUGGCCCAACAAUUGGCCGUGUCAUCACACAGUUCCAUGAUUAAUGCAGGCAGGAGAUGAGGGUACAGCCUACUAUUGUACACUAUUCUGCCUAUUACAAUUCUAUGUACACUAAUCUGUACUCUAGACAUUACCAUGGGUUGGAAACAAGGUUUUCCAUCCAUUCCCAUCCCCCCUAGCAACCAGGGAUGCU
rnacentral:lncRNA from 1 species